UACGUAGGGGGCAAGCGUUGUCCGGAUUUAUUGGGCGUAAAGAGCGUGUAGGCGGCCUGAACGGUCAGCUGUGAAAACUCGAGGCUCAACCUCGAGACGUCGGUUGAAACCAUCUGGCUAGAGUCCGGAAGAGGAGUGUGGAAUUCCCGGUGUAGCGGUGAAAUGCGCAGAUAUCGGGAAGAACACCCGUGGCGAAGGCGGCGCUCUGGGACGGUACUGACGCUGAGACGCGAAAGCGUGGGGAGCGAACAGG
rnacentral:rRNA from 1 species